rnacentral:lncRNA from 1 species
CUUGGUCCCCUCUUUCAGACGAUCGUUACAGACCUACCCACCACAACUGGAUCAAGCAGCGUGCUCGGGAGAAGAUGGACACCUGGUCUCAUCAGGAGUGGAUUGGGAGGAGAGACUGGACUUGGGGCCAGGUGAUCGACAGAUAUCGGAGCCUACCCGGGAAGAACGAGAGGCAACCCCAAAAAUGUUUUGGGGGAGGGCACACGGGUAGUUUGGCUGGACCAGGGGUGAGGCCUGAGUCAACUACCCGUGCUUUUUGCGGUAAGCAGGUGCCUGCCUCUCGCACUCUCUCUCCAGUGCGCCUGCCCAGCCCAGUACGUCCUGUGCCUGCUCCCAGAGCCAGGCCUCCUGCAUGUCUCCCCAGUCUGGUGAGUCCUGUGCCUGCUCCCAGAGCCAGGCCUCCUGCAUGUCUCCCCAGUCUGGUUCUGUCUGAAGAACUGCCCACCCAAUGACCUGGAGUGUGCCAUGAGCCCUUGCGCGCUGGAGUACAAGCUGCUGUCCCUCCCCUUCGGCAUCACGGCAAAUCAGGACCUUUUCUGGCUGGUGGCGUACACGCACAACGGUGUGGUGCACCCGUGUACCUCUUUCCUGGUGGUGGAUGAGGAUGCGACAUUACACUUCGCCCUGUGAGACGAGAACUUGAAGAGGAUACUGUUCACGACCUGGGCCCUCAGAGAGCCCCACACCUACCGGAUGAAGGUCCGCUCCUUGUCUUAGAGGGCUGACGAAGGCAUCGAGUACCAGACCACCUUCAUCGUCUACAUCGCCAUCUCCGCCUACCCCUACUGAGAGCACUUUAAAACAACAACAUAAAGGGGCCCUGAAAGGUUGCGACCUCUGUAUGCAGCCCCACUGAGAACGACUGUAUGUGUGGAUGUAAAGGUAACUGCCAAAAUAAUGAAAACACUUGAGUAAAUGAGGGAUACACAGUAUAUUGAAAGCAGGUGUGGUUCCUGAGUUAAUUAAGAAAAUAACAUGUUUAGGGUCAUGUAUAAAAAUGCUGGGCAGGCCAUUAUUUUGGUUACCAUGGCUAUGACCCCAUAGGAUGACAAUGCCCCCAUCCGCAGGGCACAAGUGGUCACUGAAUGGUUUGAUGAGCAUGAAAACGAUGUAAACCAUAUAUCUUAGUCACCAGAUCUCAACCCAAUGUAACACCUAUGGGAGAUUCUGGAGUGGUCCCCGAGACAGCGUUUUCCACCACCAUCAACAAAAC